rnacentral:rRNA from 1 species
AUGGAACGCUGGCGGCAGGCCUAACACAUGCAAGUCGAGCGGAUGAAGGGAGCUUGCUCCUGGAUUCAGCGGCGGACGGGUGAGUAAUGCCUAGGAAUCUGCCUGGUAGUGGGGGAUAACGUCCGGAAACGGGCGCUAAUACCGCAUACGUCCUGAGGGAGAAAGUGGGGGAUCUUCGGACCUCACGCUAUCAGAUGAGCCUAGGUCGGAUUAGCUAGUUGGUGGGGUAAAGGCCUACCAAGGCGACGAUCCGUAACUGGUCUGAGAGGAUGAUCAGUCACACUGGAACUGAGACACGGUCCAGACUCCUACGGGAGGCAGCAGUGGGGAAUAUUGGACAAUGGGCGAAAGCCUGAUCCAGCCAUGCCGCGUGUGUGAAGAAGGUCUUCGGAUUGUAAAGCACUUUAAGUUGGGAGGAAGGGCAGUAAGUUAAUACCUUGCUGUUUUGACGUUACCAACAGAAUAAGCACCGGCUAACUUCGUC